CGGAUACUGAAGCAAUAACCGGAUGAUGAAGCAGCAUGGGUUCUCCUGGCGUGUCCUGGUGCAGCAGAUGUUCCCUCCCUCAUCUGUGUGCGAUGCGCCCUCCUAGCCUCGCUCGUCGACCGACCGGCGAGGCUUUUU
rnacentral:sRNA from 1 species